ensembl:snoRNA
AUCCUUUUGUAGUUCAUAGGUGUGAUAAUUGGGUGUUCACGUGCACGUGUGAGAUGUGCCACACUCCAGCCUUGUUACAACAUCAGCAUGUUACCCAUCUGACA